GAGUUUGAUCCUGGCUCAGAUUGAACGCUGGCGGAAUGCUUUACACAUGCAAGUCGAACGGUAGAGGGGGCAACCCUUGAGAGUGGCGAACGGGUGAGUAAUAUAUCGGAACGUGCCCAGUCGUGGGGGAUAACGUAGCGAAAGUUACGCUAAUACCGCAUACGAUCUAAGGGUGAAAGCGGGGGAUCGCAAGACCUCGCGCGAUUGGAGCGGCCGAUAUCAGAUUAGGUAGUUGGUGAGGUAAAGGCUCACCAAGCCAACGAUCUGUAGCUGGUCUGAGAGGACGACCAGCCACACUGGAACUGAGACACGGUCCAGACUCCUACGGGAGGCAGCAGUGGGGAAUUUUGGACAAUGGACGCAAGUCUGAUCCAGCCAUUCCGCGUGCAGGAUGAAGGCCCUCGGGUUGUAAACUGCUUUUGUACGGAACGAAAAGGUUUCUAUUAAUACUAGGAGCUCAUGACGGUACCGUAAGAAUAAGCACCGGCUAACUACGUG
rnacentral:rRNA from 1 species